GACGAACGCUGGCGGCGUGCUUAACACAUGCAAGUCGAGCGACGCUCUUCCUUCGGGGAGAUGACGGAGCGGCGAACGGGUGAGUAACACGUGGGCAACCUGCCCCUAGCUCUGGGACAACACCGGGAAACCGGUGCUAAUACCGGAUACGACAUCGAGCGGCAUCUCUCGAUGUGGAAAGUUUUUUCGGCUAGGGAUGGGCCCGCGGCCUAUCAGCUUGUUGGUGGGGUAAUGGCCCACCAAGGCGACGACGGGUAGCCGGCCUGAGAGGGCGACCGGCCACACUGGGACUGAGACACCGCCCAGACUCCUACGGGAAGGAGCAGUGGGGAAUAUUGCGCAAGGGGCGAAAGCCUGACGCAGCGACGCCGCGUGAGGGAUGACGGCCUUCGGGUUGUAAACCUCUUUCAGCAGGGACGAAUUCAGACGGUACCUGCAGAAGAAGCACCGGCCAACUACGCG
rnacentral:rRNA from 1 species